GGCAUGCGGCGUGCUAUAAUGCAGUCGAGCGGACAGAAGGGAGCUUGCUCCCGGAUGUUAGCGGCGGACGGGUGAGUAACACGUGGGUAACCUGCCUGUAAGACUGGGAUAACUCCGGGAAACCGGAGCUAAUACCGGAUAGUUCCUUGAACCGCAUGGUUCAAGGAUGAAAGACGGUUUCGGCUGUCACUUACAGAUGGACCCGCGGCGCAUUAGCUAGUUGGUGGGGUAAUGGCUCACCAAGGCGACGAUGCGUAGCCGACCUGAGAGGGUGAUCGGCCACACUGGGACUGAAACACGGCCCAGACUCCUACGGGAGGCAGCAGUAGGGAAUCUUCCGCAAUGGACGAAAGUCUGACGGAGCAACGCCGCGUGAGUGAUGAAGGUUUUCGGAUCGUAAAGCUCUGUUGUUAGGGAAGAACAAGUGCGAGAGUAACUGCUCGCACCUUGACGGUACCUAACCAGAAAGCCACGGCUAACUACGUGCCAGCAGCCGCGGUAAUACGUAGGUGGCAAGCGUUGUCCGGAAUUAUUGGGCGUAAAGGGCUCGCAGGCGGUUUCUUAAGUCUGAUGUGAAAGCCCCCGGCUCAACCGGGGAGGGUCAUUGGAAACUGGGAAACUUGAGUGCAGAAGAGGAGAGUGGAAUUCCACGUGUAGCGGUGAAAUGCGUAGAGAUGUGGAGGAACACCAGUGGCGAAGGCGACUCUCUGGUCUGUAACUGACGCUGAGGAGCGAAAGCGUGGGGAGCGAACAGGAUUAGAUACCCUGGUAGUCCACGCCGUAAACGAUGAGUGCUAAGUGUUAGGGGGUUUCCGCCCCUUAGUGCUGCAGCUAACGCAUUAAGCACUCCGCCUGGGGAGUACGGUCGCAAGACUGAAACUCAAAGGAAUUGACGGGGGCCCGCACAAGCGGUGGAGCAUGUGGUUUAAUUCGAAGCAACGCGAAGAACCUUACCAGGUCUUGACAUCCUCUGACAACCCUAGAGAUAGGGCUUUCCCUUCGGGGACAGAGUGACAGGUGGUGCAUGGUUGUCGUCAGCUCGUGUCGUGAGAUGUUGGGUUAAGUCCCGCAACGAGCGCAACCCUUGAUCUUAGUUGCCAGCAUUCAGUUGGGCACUUUAAGGUGACUGCCGGUGACAAACCGGAGGAAGGUGGGGAUGACGUCAAAUCAUCAUGCCCCUUAUGACCUGGGCUACACACGUGCUACAAUGGACAGAACAAAGGGCUGCAAGACCGCAAGGUUUAGCCAAUCCCAUAAAUCUGUUCUCAGUUCGGAUCGCAGUUUGCAACUCGACUGCGUGAAGCUGGAAUCGCUAGUAAUCGCGGAUCAGCAUGCCGCGGUGAAUACGUUCCCGGGCCUUGUACACACCGCCCGUCACACCACGAGAGUUUGCAACACCCGAAGUCGGUGAGGUAACCUUUAUGGAGCCAGCCGCCGAACGUGGACAGU
rnacentral:rRNA from 1 species